rnacentral:rRNA from 1 species
AGCGAACGCUGGCGGCAUGCUUAACACAUGCAAGUCGCACGGGCGGGGGCAACUCCGUCAGUGGCGGACGGGUGAGUAACGCGUAGGAAUCUAUCCUUGAAUGGGGGACAACCGUGGGAAACUACGGCUAAUACCGCAUGAUGACUGAGGUCUAAAGGCGCAAGUCGCCAGAGGAGGAGCCUGCGUCCGAUUAGCUAGUUGGUGGGGUAAAGGCCUACCAAGGCUCCGAUCGGUAGCUGGUCUGAGAGGAUGAUCAGCCACAUUGGGACUGAGACACGGCCCAAACUCCUACGGGAGGCAGCAGUGGGGAAUAUUGGACAAUGGGCGCAAGCCUGAUCCAGCAAUGCCGCGUGUGUGAAGAAGGCCUGCGGGUUGUAAAGCACUUUCAGUAGGGAAGAAAAGCCUAAGGUUAAUACCCUUGAGUCUUGACGUUACCUACAGAAGAAGCACCGGCUAACUCCGUG